rnacentral:rRNA from 1 species
CCGACCGGCGCACGGGUGAGUAACGCGUAUGCAACUUACCUAUCAGAGGGGAUAACCCGGCGAAAGUCGGACUAAUACCGCAUGAAGCAGGGGCCCCGCAUGGGGAUAUUUGCUAAAGAUUCAUCGCUGAUAGAUAGGCAUGCGUUCCAUUAGGCAGUUGGCGGGGUAACGGCCCACCAAACCGACGAUGGAUAGGGGUUCUGAGAGGAAGGUCCCCCACAUUGGUACUGAGACACGGACCAA